UACGGAGGGUGCAAGCGUUAUCCGGAUUCACUGGGUUUAAAGGGUGCGUAGGUGGGUUGGUAAGUCAGUGGUGAAAUCUCCGUGCUUAACAUGGAAACUGCCAUUGAUACUACUGAUCUUGAAUUUUCUGGAGGUAAGCGGAAUAUGUCAUGUAGCGGUGAAAUGCUUAGAUAUGACAUAGAACACCAAUUGCGAAGGCAGCUUGCUACAGGGAUAUUGACACUGAGGCACGAAAGCGUGGGGAUCAAGCAGG
rnacentral:rRNA from 1 species